UACGUAGGUGGCAAGCGUUGUCCGGAAUUAUUGGGCGUAAAGCGCGCGCAGGCGGUCCUUUAAGUCUGAUGUGAAAGCCCACGGCUCAACCGUGGAGGGUCAUUGGAAACUGGGGGACUUGAGUGCAGAAGAGGAAAGCGGAAUUCCACGUGUAGCGGUGAAAUGCGUAGAGAUGUGGAGGAACACCAGUGGCGAAGGCGGCUUUCUGGUCUGUAACUGACGCUGAGGCGCGAAAGCGUGGGGAGCAAACAG
rnacentral:rRNA from 1 species